UAUCAGUUGUUUUUAUUAAUAGAUUGUCAGAACUACAUUACUCUCACCACAGGGGUGCCGGUCAGAUGAGUCUCACUCUAACAAUUUUAUAAUGUUGUUAACAACCAAGAAAAUGCUCCCCAAAAAGCCAGACAUAACAGCGCAAUGCAAUUAAUUUUUCUACGUUCCCCACAGUGUUUGAUACAAACUUGAAAAACUGCACAAACCACAUAAACGAAUACGGUUUUCUGUGAGUCUCAGUCAAUAUAUACAAGUCUCUCUAAUCACGAGCUGGCCUGCUGUGCCGUGGGUCCGUUUUUGGUCGCCCAAAAGUCAGUAGGAGUGAUACCUCCUGUCCGGUUUUAAAGCUGUGUUGUGUUGCGCGCGUGUCACAGUCGUUACAGCAGUUCCCCGGAAGACGGGCAGCAGCAGACUCCGGUGGUGACAGACGGUCCGGUCCGGUCCGGUUGGUUCGGUCCGGUCCCGGGUCGUGGUCGCUCGGAUGGAGAGUCGGGCUGAGAUUUGGAGGCUGGAUAUCAGGUCACGGUUGAGCGGCAGGGAGAACUAACACACAACGGACUGAACCGCGCGACGCCGGGCAACGUUGACACGAGCCAUCGACACCGGGAGGGUCUGACUGCUUCCGCUAAUGUAAUCCUGAAGUGUAUGAAGCCUGGGCUUACACACUCCGGUACAAUAGGUGGCGGUAUGCACCUUAAAACGUUGGUUUGCGAUCCGCCAUAUAUCAGAGAGAAGAAGAAGAAGAAGAAGAAAGAAGAAGAGAAGAAAAUCGCCAAACAUCCAGAAAAGGUUUCAGAUUAAAAAGAGUAAUGAAUCCACUCAAGAAACGCGCCGGGAUAUUACAGCAAAAUCAAUGACAGAACGCAGAUUGAGGGGGAAAGAAACUGAAGGCUACACGGACAGAAAUCCUUUUUAAUAAUGCCAUUACCACUCUGUCCACCACUCUCUCCUCUUUGCAGUACACGGCAAGCGGGAGAUAGAGAUCUGUAACCAAGCUUUUGCAACUGCAUUUCAGGCCAGAAGGGAGAGAGUGGAUGGAAGCAGAAUCCAAUAGCCAUCCAGUGGGAGGGCUUAUCUGAGCGGCCCACAUCCGCCGAGUCGCACAUGACAGGCCUGUAACUCUUGUGGCAGGCUGCCGGCUGCGGGGUUAACCUGAGGUGGCAGCUCGCCAAAUGCUCUGGAGUACGCGGGGUUCAAGUUUAGGCCUCGCGACCCUUAAAUGAUAAGGGACAAGGGAUCUAUAUGGUGGAGGACAUAGUGAAAACCCAUAAGCUGUGUAUAGAAAUGGACGUAGGCACCGCGUUCGGAGAGUGAAGCCGACGAGGAAGUGCCUAAAACCUGUUUUCUCUCUAAUGACCAGCAGGGGGAGACUCCACUAGUUGCAAAAAGACGUCCGUCUCUGAGAAAAGGACUCUACUUGCCACUUGCAAAAACCUCAUUAUUGUGUUUAUUUUGGCCUCAAUUUGCCAAUGAAGUGAUACGACAAUCAACAGCAAAUUAAUUCAAAAUAAUUUUCAUAACUUAUUAGUGAUUUAAGUCAUUAAUCAAGCAAAAGUGCCCGACUGAGUUGUUCGUUUCGCCUUCUGGAUUUGUGAAAAAAGAAUUAUUAGGCAAGUGGAUCUUGCAUUUUUCACUAUGUUUUUGACCUUUUUAUAGAACAAGUAAAUAAUUAUGAAAAUAACGAGUGGUUGCAACCUUUAAUUGGUCUCUCUUUUUGAUCUGCUCUUCUCUCGUUGGCACCCGUUGCUUUUGCUUCCUGCUGUGACACAGGGUCCCAGUGUUGACUAUAUUAGUGAGAAUUAUCAAAUUAAAACUGACAAGGGGUAAAAUAGCCUUGUUUUCCGGACAAGAAAGCAAUUGAUCUCUAAUUUCAAAUUAAAAAAAAAGGAUGAAUGGGGGAAAAAAUACAAUCCGUCUCCCUGUGGAAGGGAAAAGUGCCCAGAGGUCUGUGGAAAAACUAAGUGUUUGAUUCUGCACAGGCAUUAGAUAGCUUCACAUACUGCUAUGAAUUUAAAUACUAGUGCAUUGCAUUAAUGCUUCUUUCGGCAAAACUCAUUUGAAAGCUCUCAAGGUCACACCGAAGGAACAGCCACCACGACGAAUGAGUCUCUCUGAAGUCCAACAUGAAUCAUUAUUGUGUGUAUGAUUCGUGGACGUACAAACCUCGUGUUGAACCCAUGUUAACAUGAAAGAAAUCCCAAUAAUAAAAGCAGUGCUUAAAGACUGUUUUCAAUGAUUU